GAUGAACGCUGGCGGCGUGCCUAAUACAUGCAAGUCGAGCGAACAGACGAGGCUCUUGCGCCUCUGACGUUAGCGGCGGACGGGUGAGUAACACGUGGAUAACCUACCUAUAAGACUGGGAUAACUUCGGGAAACCGGAGCUUAGACCGGAUAAUAUAUUGAAGCGCAUGGUUCAAUAGUGAAAGACGGUUUUGCUGUCACUUAUAGCUGCAUCCGAGCCGCAUUAGCUAGUUGGUAAGGUAACGGCCUACCAAGGCAACGAUGCGUAGCCGAACUGAGAGAGGGAUAGGCCACACUAGAACAGAGACACGGUCAAGACGACUACGAGAGGGAGCAGUAGGGAAUCUUCCGCAAUGGGCGAAAGUCUGACAGAGCAAGGCGGCGUGAGAGGUGAAGGCGUCCGGAUCGGAAAGCUCUGUUAUGAGGGAUGAACAAAUUUGUAAGUAACUGUGCCCGUAGUGACGGUACCUAGUAAAAAAGCAACGGCUAACUACGUG
rnacentral:rRNA from 1 species